rnacentral:rRNA from 1 species
AUUGAACGCUGGCGGCAGGCUCAACACAUGCAAGUCGAGCGGAGAUGAGGUGCUUGCACCUUAUCUUAGCGGCGGACGGGUGAGUAAUGCUUAGGAAUCUGCCUAUUAGUGGGGGACAACAUUCCGAAAGGAAUGCUAAUACCGCAUACGCCCUACGGGGGAAAGCAGGGGAUCUGCGGACCUUGCGCUAAUAGAUGAGCCUCAGUCGGAUUAGCUAGUUGGUGGGGUAAAGGCCUACCAAGGCGACGAUCUGUAGCGGGUCUGAGAGGAUGAUCCGCCACACUGGGACUGAGACACGGCCCAGACUCCUACGGGAGGCAGCAGUGGGGAAUAUUGGACAAUGGGCGGAAGCCUGAUCCAGCCAUGCCGCGUGUGUGAAGAAGGCCUUUUGGUUGUAAAGCACUUUAAGCGAGGAGGAGGCUACCUGGAUUAAUACUCUAGGAUAGUGGACGUUACUCGCAGAAUAAGCACCGGCUAACUCUGUGCCAGCCGCCGCCGUAACAC